rnacentral:lncRNA from 1 species
GGGAAAAGUGAGAUUCUGAAAAUAAAAGAAAUCACGAAUUUGAGGAAAGGGACGGAUCCUUUUUCAAUAUUUUUGAACUUCUGAAAUAAGAAAGAUAUUUAGCAUACUUGAAAAUGAUAUAUGAGAAGCUUGUGAGUAUCUUUUCCUGGCACAGUUAUUGGGUUGUGCCUAGGCCUGGCGAUUGAAUUGGCAAGUUAAUAAAUUGGUG